UCAGGUGCCUAUAUCGGCGGUGUCCACCUCUUCCCAUUCCGAACAGAGAAGUUAAGCCCGCCAGAGCCGAUGGUACUGCAGUAAAAUGUGGGAGAGUAGGUCGGUGCCAAAC
rnacentral:rRNA from 3 species